rnacentral:misc_RNA from 1 species
UUGUUAUCUUCCAAUUCGUUAUUUCAAAAGAUUGAAAAUAGAUUUUCCUUUUGGAAAGACAAAGUUCUGUCUAUUACAAGGAAACUAACCAUGAUGAAAUCAUGCUUUGCUAGUAUGCCAAUCUAUUACCUCUCCACUUUUAAGUUACCUAAAAAAGUUUAAAGGAAACUAGAGAGGCUCAUGAGAUAUAUAUAUUUUUUUUAUUUUAUUUAGUGGUAUAGAUACAAAGUUUCAUUUAGUUAACUAGCACACUCUUCUUUUACCUAAGGCUAAUAGAGGUUUGAG